rnacentral:misc_RNA from 1 species
AUCGUGAAGUCGGGAGUCGUCGAUUCGAUGGCGUAUUCGCUGUAUUCCGACGGAUCGAUCGAGGCGCAGAUGCCUGAAGGCAUGGUGCGGUUUGCGUCGAUCGACGAACUGCGCGCGCAUCUGGAUCAGCGCGGCUGAUCCCGGCAAACAGACGGCCGUUCCCGAGCGUAAAUAAAUACACGCCGGUAUUCUUGUUGUCCUUGUCAGUGCGGCAGCAAAUCUCUCAUACUUGCAAGUAUAGAUGACGUCGAAACUGUCGACAGGCGGCCCUUUGCUUGGGCGCCAGAGCUUUUCGACUGUCAUCUGAUUUGCGGAUUUGAAAGACAUCACGAUGAGCGAAACCACCCCCAAG